UACGGGGGGAGCAAGCGUUGUUCGGAUUUACUGGGCGUAAAGGGCGCGUAGGCGGCCACCGCAAGUCGAUUGUGAAAUCUCCGGGCUUAACUCGGAAAGGUCAACCGAUACUGCGGGGCUAGAGUGCAGAAGGGGCAACUGGAAUUCUCGGUGUAGCGGUGAAAUGCGUAGAUAUCGAGAGGAACACCUGCGGCGAAGGCGGGUUGCUGGGCUGACACUGACGCUGAUGUGCGAAAGCUAGGGGAGCGAACGGG
rnacentral:rRNA from 1 species